rnacentral:rRNA from 1 species
GACGGAGGGGGUUAGCGUUGUUCGGAUUUAUUGGGCGUAAAGCGCGCGCAGGCGGAUUAGCAAGUCAGAUGUGAAAUCUCGGGGCUCAACCUCGAAACUGCGUCUGAAACUGUUAGUCUAGAAUCUCAGAGGGGGCAGGGGAAUUUCACGUGUAGGGGUAAAAUCCGUAGAGAUGUGAAGGAACACCAGUGGCGAAGGCGCCUGCCUGGAUGAGUAUUGACGCUGAGGCGCGAAAGCGUGGGGAGCAAACAGG